UACGUAGGGGGCAAGCGUUGUCCGGAAUCAUUGGGCGUAAAGAGCGUGUAGGCGGCCCGAUAAGUCCGCUGUGAAAGUCCAGGGCUCAACCCUGGAAUGCCGGUGGAUACUGUCGGGCUCGAAUCCGGAAGAGGUGAGUGGAAUUCCAGGUGUAGCGGUGAAAUGCGUAGAUAUCUGGAGGAACACCGGUGGCGAAGGCGGCAUCCUGGACCGGUAUUGACGCUGAGGCGCGAAAGCCAGGGGAGCAAACGGG
rnacentral:rRNA from 1 species